AUACCCGCUGAACUUAAGCAUAUCAAUAAGCGGAGGAAAAGAAACCAACAGGGAUUGCCCUAGUAACGGCGAGUGAAGCGGCAACAGCUCAAAUUUGAAAUCUGGCUUCGGCCCGAGUUGUAAUUUGUAGAGGAAGCUUUUGGUGCGGCAUCUACUGAGUCCCCUGGAACGGGGCGCCAUAGAGGGUGAGAGCCCCGUAUAGUAGGACGCCUAGCCUCUGUAAAGCUCCUUCGACGAGUCGAGUAGUUUGGGAAUGCUGCUCUAAAUGGGAGGUAAAUUUCUUCUAAAGCUAAAUAUUGGCCAGAGACCGAUAGCGCACAAGUAGAGUGAUCGAAAGAUGAAAAGCACUUUGAAAAGAGGGUUAAACAGCACGUGAAAUUGUUGAAAGGGAAGCGCUUGUGACCAGACUUGCGCCGGGCGGAUCAUCCGGUGUUCUCACCGGUGCACUCCGCCCGGCUCAGGCCAGCAUCGGUUCUCGUGGGGGGAUAAAGGCUCUGGGAACGUGGCUCCUCCGGGAGUGUUAUAGCCCAGUGUGCAAUGCCCUCGUGGGGACCGAGGUUCGCGCAUCUGCAAGGAUGCUGGCGUAAUGGUCAUCAGCGACCCGUCUUGAAACACGGACCAAGGAGUCAAGGUUUUGCGCGAGUGUUUGGGUGUAAAACCCGCACGCGUAAUGAAAGUGAACGUAGGUGAGAGCUUCGGCGCAUCAUCGACCGAUCCUGAUGUAUUCGGAUGGAUUUGAGUAGGAGCGUUAAGCCUUGGACCCGAAAGAUGGUGAACUAUGCUUGGAUAGGGUGAAGCCAGAGGAAACUCUGGUGGAGGCUCGCAGCGGUUCUGACGUGCAAAUCGAUCGUCAAAUCUGAGCAUGGGGGCGAAAGACUAAUCGAACCAUCUAGUAGCUGGUUACCGCCGAAGUUUCCCUCAGGAUAGCAGUGUUGUUCUUCAGUUUUAUGAGGUAAAGCGAAUGAUUAGGGACUCGGGGGCGCUAUAUAGCCUUCAUCCAUUCUCAAACUUUAAAUAUGUAAGAAGCCCUUGUUACUUAAUUGAACGUGGGCAUUCGAAUGUACCAACACUAGUGGGCCAUUUUUGGUAAGCAGAACUGGCG
rnacentral:rRNA from 1 species